rnacentral:misc_RNA from 1 species
UCUCAGUAGGUGAACCUGCGGCGGGAUCAUUACUGAGUGAGGGCCUGCCCGGCCCGACCUCCAACCCUUUGUGAACACAACUUGUUGCUUCGGGGGCGACCCUGCCGUUUCGACGGCGAGCGCCCCCGGAGGCCUUCAAACACUGCAUCUUUGCGUCGGAGUUUAAGUAAAUUUAAACAAAACUUGCAACAACGGAUCUCUUGGUUCUGGCAUCGAUGAAGAACGCAGC